UGAGGAAUAUUGGUCAAUGGGCGUUAGCCUGAACCAGCCAUCCCGCGUGCAGGAAGAAUGCCCUAUGGGUUGUAAACUGCUUUUUCGCAAGAAGAACAUCCCGAACGCGUUCGGGACUGACGGUACUGCGGGAAUAAGCACCGGCUAACUCCGUGCCAGCAGCCGCGGUAAUACGGAGGGUGCAAGCGUUAUCCGGAUUUAUUGGGUUUAAAGGGUGCGUAGGCGGCAAUUUAAGUCAGUGGUGAAAUCCUGCAGCUUAACUGUAGAACAGCCAUUGAAACUGAAUUACUUGAGUAAUCUUGAGGUAGGCGGAAUGUGUAGUGUAGCGGUGAAAUGCUUAGAUAUUACACAGAACACCGAUUGCGAAGGCAGCUUACUAAGGGUUUACUGACGCUGAUGCACGAAAGCGUGGGGAUCAAACAGG
rnacentral:rRNA from 1 species